ACACGUGCUCCGGGGUCGGUGAAAGUCCGAGCCGGCGGUGACAGUCCGCGACCCGCGAGGUUCCGCAAGGGACCGGACGGUGGACCUGGUGGAACUCCGGGACCGACGGUGAAAGUCCGGAUGGGAGGAGUCGUGG
rnacentral:ncRNA from 2 species